GACGAACGCUGGCGGCGUGCUUAACACAUGCAAGUCGAACGGAAAGGCCCUGCUUUUGUGGGGUGCUCGAGUGGCGAACGGGUGAGUAACACGUGAGUAACCUGCCCUUGACUUUGGGAUAACUUCAGGAAACUGGGGCUCAUACCGGAUAGGAGCUCCUGCUGCAUGGUGGGGGUUGGAAAGUUUCGGCGGUUGGGGAUGGACUCGCGGCUUAUCAGCUUGUUGGUGGGGUAGUGGCUUACCAAGGCUUUGACGGGUAGCCGGCCUGAGAGGGUGACCGGCCACAUUGGGACUGAGAUACGGCCCAGACUCCUACGGGAGGCAGCAGUGGGGAAUAUUGCACAAUGGGCGGAAGCCUGAUGCAGCAACGCCGCGGGCGGGAUGACGGCCUUCGGGUUGUAAACCGCUUUCGCCUGUGACGAAGCGUGAGUGACGGUAAUGGGUAAAGAAGCACCGGCUAACUACGUG
rnacentral:rRNA from 1 species